CGUGCCUAAGAAAUGCAAGUCGAGCGGGGUAGCAAUACCUAGCGGCGAACGGUCGCGUAACACGUAGGCAACCUGCCCGAAAGACCGGGACAACAUUCCGAAAGGGGUGCUAAUACCGGAUGUGGCCAGCGGGAGACAUCUCCUGCUGAUUAAAUCACUUGUGGCUUUCGGAGGGGCCUGCGGCCUAUCAGCUAGAUGGCGGGGUAACGGCUCACCAUGGCGACGACGGGUAGCUGGUCUGAGAGGACGAUCAGCCGGACUGGGACUGAGAUACGGCCCAGACUCCUACGGGGGGCAGCAAUUAGGAAUCUUGCGCAAUGGGCGAAAGCCUGACGCAGCGACGCCGCGUGGAGGAUGACGGCCUUCGGGUUGUAAACUCCUUUUAGGUGGGAAGAAACAAAUGACGGUACCACCAGAAUNAGCCCCGGCUAACUACGUGCCAGCAGCCGCGGUAAUACGUAGGGGGCGAGCGU
rnacentral:rRNA from 1 species